rfam:Triticum aestivum genome assembly, contig: Triticum_aestivum_CS42_TGACv1_scaffold_224147_3B
UGUGUACUCCCUCCGUUCCAAAAUACUUGACUUCCAUUUAUCCAAAAAUGGAUGUGCCUAUAUACUAAAACAUGUCUAGAUACAUAUAUAUUUUGACAAAUAGAAGGCAUGUAUUGUGCAACGGAGGGAGUAGAAU